GGACGAACGCUGGCGGCGUGCCUAAUACAUGCAAGUCGAGNNGAGUUGAUGAGGUGCUUGCACCUCUGAUACUUAGCGGCGGACGGGUGAGUAACACGUGGGUAACCUGCCUGUAAGACUGGGAUAACAUUCGGAAACGAAUGCUAAUACCGGAUACGCGAUAUGGUCGCAUGACUGAAUCGGGAAAGAUGGAGCAAUCUAUCACUUAUAGAUGGACCCGCGGCGCAUUAGCUAGUUGGUGAGGUAACGGCUCACCAAGGCGACGAUGCGUAGCCGACCUGAGAGGGUGAUCGGCCACACUGGGACUGAGACACGGCCCAGACUCCUACGGGAGGCAGCAGUAGGGAAUCUUCCGCAAUGGACGAAAGUCUGACGGAGCAACGCCGCGUGAGUGAUGAAGGUUUUCGGAUCGUAAAGCUCUGUUGCCAGGGAAGAA
rnacentral:rRNA from 1 species